rnacentral:rRNA from 1 species
GUGAACGCUGGCGGUAGGCCUAACACAUGCAAGUCGAACGGCAGCACCGUAAGAGCUUGCUCUUACGGGUGGCGAGUGGCGGACGGGUGAGGAAUACAUCGGAAUCUACUUUUUCGUGGGGGAUAACGUAGGGAAACUUACGCUAAUACCGCAUACGACCUACGGGUGAAAGCAGGGGAUCUUCGGACCUUGCGCGAUUGAAUGAGCCGAUGUCGGAUUAGCUAGUUGGCGGGGUAAAGGCCCACCAAGGCGACGAUCCGUAGCUGGUCUGAGAGGAUAAUCAGCCACACUGGAACUGAGACACGGUCCAGACUCCUACGGGAGGCAGCAGUGGGGAAUAUUGGACAAUGGGCGCAAGCCUGAUCCAGCCAUACCGCGUGGGUGAAGAAGGCCUUCGGGUUGUAAAGCCCUUUUGUUGGGAAAGAAAAGCAGCAGGUUAAUACCCCGCUGUUCUGACGGUACCCAAAGAAUAAGCACCGGCUAACUUCGUG